ensembl:lncRNA
GCCGGAAAUCCCAUCACUAAUGGUGGAGGUCGGGUCUUUUUACUCAGCUCCCUUUCAAUCACAUACAAUACCACAGUACCACCUACUGGUGGGAGGUAGUAAUAGCUGCUGCUUAUUGCAAUAUACCACAGGGACAGUCAGUCAGAGUGUUAGCACCUUAGAAAGAGUUUGAUGUUUUUGAUGUUGGCAUUGUUAGUGAAAAAAACACAGUCUGUGUCGUUUCUGUUGAACUGAUUAUUUUGUUAAUAAUUUGGAGAGUGAUAUUACUUUUCUGUACUUGACCUAUUUAUGAGUUAUGAAACUUAACAGCAAAGACAUUCCGAUGUGUAUUCUAUAUUUGUCUCUCGCCCUUGUUCUCUGUGUGUUUUGGUUUUUGCCUCGUGGCCUUGGGCGAACUCGUCCCAUGUCCCACGCUUGUUUGUGCUCACCUCGAGAGGUCCCAUCUGUAGCCGAUCACCUGGCUGAUGACGCUGCUAUUUUAGGCCGUGGUGGAGAUUCUGUCUUUGCUGGAUCGCUGAACGUCUAAACGUCAGUGAUACCCCGCCCAUUGUUUCUUCGUGCUUGCGGGUUUUUUUGUUUUGUUUUUUUGUGUGCCGUUUGGAUCUUUACCAUCAGAAUUGUUGUCUGAAGGCCAAGAAAGAUGCCAAGCGGAUUUAUUUUACCAAGUGGAUCAUCAUGGCCUUGCCAUAUUGGUCCAUUUGAUUGACCUUUAUUAUAAUUAUGAAUUUAUUUUAUUUUUGUUUUUUAAGACGGGACAGACAUGACUGGGGGAUAGGACAGGGAGAAAGAAUGAAAGAAAGAGAGGGAGAGAAAGAAAACCAAAGGGGAGAAGAGACGGUGAGAAGGGGGGGAAGAAAAAACAAACAAAACACCUGGGUCACCUGUAUGGAGAGAAAAAAAAGACAGAAGAGAAAACAAACAAAAAAGGAGCAACAUAAUAAAAAAAACAGCACCAUCACAAUAAACUAGCUAGCAGUAGAUAUCAGUAGAUACUAAAUAAUAAACGCUAUUGUGCAGCAAGCAAGAUAGACAGCGCACAAUGUGCUUUGAGGCAGCAGCCAAGAAAGCUGUAGUCCACGUCUGUGAAUACCCGUGUGUACACCUGUGUGCAUACCUGUGUGGAUCAGCAUGCUUGCAUUCCAAAGGUUUCUCCAUGUAACGAUCUGCUAGGGAGUGUGGGGAGCCACAGCCCCGUCCACCAGGGCAUGAAGCAGGCAUGUGCUUGCGUUUUGAGAUCUCGCUGGUCGUUGUGGAUUGCCUGACCUCCCUGUCUCCCUGUGCUCAGGCUCUGGACCCUGGUGAGCCUGACCCCGACCCUUCGCACCACCAAUCCCUGCACGUUCCCACACUGCUGUACGUUAUUGUGUCACUGUAAAUAAAUCAGCUGUCUUUCUGAGUCUGCGCCUGAGUGCUGCACAUUAACACUGCUAAACACUGUGCAGUGAACACUUUGUGCUAGUGGAAU